rnacentral:rRNA from 1 species
GAUGAACGCUGGCGGCGUGCCUAAUACAUGCAAGCCGAGCGAACAGACGAGGAGCUUGCUCCUCUGACGUUAGCGGCGGACGGGUGAGUAACACGUGGAUAACCUACCUAUAAGACUGGGAUAACUUCGGGAAACCGGAGCUAAUACCGGAUAAUAUAUUGAACCGCAUGGUUCAAUAGUGAAAGACGGUUUUGCUGUCACUUAUAGAUGGAUCCGCGCCGCAUUAGCUAGUUGGUAAGGUAACGGCUUACCAAGGCAACGAUGCGUAGCCGACCUGAGAGGGUGAUCGGCCACACUGGAACUGAGACACGGUCCAGACUCCUACGGGAGGCAGCAGUAGGGAAUCUUCCGCAAUGGGCGAAAGCCUGACGGAGCAACGCCGCGUGAAUGAUGAAGGUCUUCGGAUCGUAAAACUCUGUUAUUAGGGAAGAACAAAUGUGUAAGUAACUAUGCACGUCUUGACGGUACCUAAUCAGAAAGCCACGGCUAACUACGUG